rnacentral:rRNA from 1 species
UACGUAGGGUGCAAGCGUUAUCCGGAAUUAUUGGGCGUAAAGAGCUCGUAGGUGGUUUGUCGCGUUGUUCGUGAAAACCGGGGGCUUAACCCUCGGCGUGCGGGCGAUACGGGCAGACUGGAGUACUGCAGGGGAGACUGGAAUUCCCGGUGUAGCAGUGAAAUGCGUAGAGAUCGGGAGGAACAUCAGUUGCGAAGGCGGCUCUCUGGACCAGCACUGACACUGAGGCACGAAAGCGUGGGGAGCAAACAGG